rnacentral:lncRNA from 1 species
ACUUUUUUCACUUAAAGGCUAAUCUGAUUAGCUUUAAAACAUUUGUUCAUCUUUUAAUUCAGUAUUUGUAUGAUGCCUAUGGAAGACAUAUGGAUUUAAAUAGAACUUGGCUAACCAUCUGCCAAUAAGAGAAAGUGAGAUGCUAAAUCAGAGAGGCAGGAAAGUCUAUUUCAGUAAAAGCUAUUUUGAUCUGAAAUACUGUAGGCAGUCUUACAGAGUAUUUUAAUUGGGAGGAUAUUGAUGCAUGCUAGUAAAAGAAGUGUAUUUGCUGAUAUGGUUGAAGUUAUGUAAUCAUUAAAUUUCUAUAUAAGUUUAGAGAUGUGGAACUAUGUGAAAUUUUGAUCCUGUUAAUUAUAAUUUUUUUUCCUAAAAAAGCCAUUUGUGGAAAAAAAUUUUCUGAUAUAUUUUUUAGAGCAGUGGCACGUUUUAUAUCUCAUGCCAGAAACUAGAGCAUAAAAUAUCAACUUUUCAAAUAAAUUAACUAGAAAUAAAGAACAAUUUAUUCAGUGCUAAUUUGUUGAUAAUUUUUUAUAGUAAACUAUGUUUUAAAAAUUUAACUUUGGG